rnacentral:lncRNA from 10 species
GGUGGGAAAGACACUCUCCUGCUUCAGGAGCUAUCGCAGACAACCGGAGGGCGGCUUAUCGCAGAGUCCCAGAGCCAGCCAGCAAGGCAAGGUCGCGGGUGCACCUUUCACUCCCAGAAGCUUGGGUCUGGGACUGCACCACGCAACGUUUGCCCAUUUUGAGGGCUUUAGGUGUUUCAUAUUUCAGUUAAUAGAAUUUCGAUUAAUACAUAAUUUGAUACCAUUUUAAUUGUUUGCUACUCGGGAGCAAGUUUUAUGUUUAGCUGUAGGAGUUAGGCUAAGUUAAAUGUUGCAAUGCUAUAUAUAUUUAAUAGGAUAUGAAAAAACUAUCUUACAGCCGGGCGCGGUAACUCACGCCUGUAAUCCCCGCACUUUGGGAGGUCGAGGCAGGAGGAUCGCUUGAGCUCAGGAGUUUGAGACCAGCCUGGACAACAUAGUGAGACCUUGUCUCUAUUUAAAAAACAACAACAGGCCUGGCGCGGUGGCCCACGCCUGUAAUCCCAGCACUUUGGGAGGCUAAGGCGGGCGGAUCACCGGAGGUCAGGAAUUCAAAACCAGCCUGGCCAACAUGGCGAAACCCUGUCUCUACUAAAAAUACAAAAAUUAGCCAGGCAUGGUUGCGGGCGCCUGUAAUCCCGGCUACUCGGGAGGCUGAGGCAGGGGAAUCCUUGAACCCGGGAGGCAGAGGUUGCAGUGAGAUCGCGUCCAUGCACUCCAGCCUGGGCGACAGAGCAUGACUCUAUCUCAAAAAAAAAAAAUCUUACUAUUUGGUAUGGAAUUUUCUGAUAGCUAGGGUAAAGAUGCUCUUUUUCCAAGAAGGAAUCCGAGUAUCCGAAUACAGGUGGUUUAGUGUUACUCUUUGUUUAUUGGAAGUUGUAGCAGCUGUGUUUAGAUAGUCUGCUAAAACAAAAACUGCCUAAACCAGAAGAGUUUAUCUUUUGCCAUUGUGUAUUAAAACUCUUCAUAGAAAUAUUUAUUUUGGAGUUUGAAAUUUAAGUGAAAAUGUGGCUCAUGCAUAGGUGUGGGUGUACAUAUGACUUUCAAGUGACAAAGAAGAUUCUUAGCAAAUUGUACGUGUUCAUUAAGACUCAUAAGUUACCUCUUUCCUAGAAAAACAAUAUACUC